rnacentral:rRNA from 1 species
UACGUAGGGUGCGAGCGUUGUCCGGAAUUCUUGGGCGUAAAGAGCUCGUAGGCGGUGUGUCACGUCGGCCGUGAAAACCUGCAGCUUAACUGUGGGCUUGCGGUCGAUACGGGCAUCACUGGAGUUCGGCAGGGGAGACUGGAAUUCCUGGUGUAGCGGUGAAAUGCGCAGAUAUCAGGAGGAACACCGGUGGCGAAGGCGGGUCUCUGGGCCGAUACUGACGCUGAGGAGCGAAAGCGUGGGGAGCGAACAGG